rfam:Camelus ferus unplaced genomic scaffold scaffold444, whole genome shotgun sequence.
GAGGUUAUAACUCAGUGGUAGAGUGCAUGUCUAGCAUGCAGGAAGUCCUGGGUUCAACCCCCAGUACCUCCA